AUACACUAGUAAAACUCUCACGAAAACAAGUUAAAAAUAAAAAAAAAUCAUGCUUUUAUUUAGGGACCAUUUGGUUAGAUGUAAUUAUAAAUGCAGUGUAGUUAAUAAUGUAUGCAGUUGAAAAUACAACAAUUAGAACUACACGAAUCUUGUUUAGUUGGAUGUAGUAGAAAGCGCUGUAAGUAUAAAUAAUUUGUUUGGUUGCAUGCAGUUGAGAAAUAAUUUUUAAAAUUUUAUUAUUUUAUAUAUAUGAUGGUGAGAUUACCUCCAAUGCAAAAAAAAAAAUAUUUGUUUGAAAAAUAUUGGGGAGGUAAGUAUACUUUUUAUUUAAAGUUACUCACUCCAACUGCUGUAGUUGGAACUACUGCCAAUUUAGGCGUAGUUCGAACUGCUACAGUUGGGCCUCCUCCUGCAGUUUCUACUGCAGCAUUUAGAGUUAAAUACAUCAAACCAAAUACGAAAUUUAUAUUUAUAUACAGUUAUAACUGUAAUAUAGUUGCAACUACAUGCAACCAAAUGACCUCUUAGUACAGGAGUAGUAUUCUUAACAUAGAAAUUUAAACUCAAAACCCCUAAUUUGAUGGAGAAGGGGCUAUUCAUCUACACCAAUUAAGUAUAAGUACAGUGCACAGGUAGCCUAAAAGAGAAGCCCAACUCUCCCUCUCACUCAAAUUGAUAGCAGGCCCAUCUCUUCUUCAGCCAGAAAUGCCCAAGAAAAUGGAGCUUUUUUUUUUGAGAGAGAGAGAUAAGGUAGCAUACUAUCCGUUUCGGUUAUUUCAUUUAGAAAUAAAUUUAGCCAGAAAUAUGAAUCAACUAGAAUUCAAACUUGAGAUUUCGAAUACCAACCACCAAACCUUUUGCCAUUUACGCUAGAGACAGUAGGUAAAAAAAUAGAGCUUUGGGUUAGAGCCCCACUGGAGUAGGGCUGUCAACAAGGCGCACAUUAGUGAACUGACUUGUUAAACUAUCGAGCUGAAAAAUUUAGUUUCUUUCUAAUUUGUUUACUAACGAAUUGAAUAUAAGUUAGCCAAUGAACAGUAAAUUAGAGCGUCAGCCAUAAUACUAGGUAAAAAGUUGGAAGAAAAUAAAAAAAAAUAAAAUUUUAAUCUAAUAAUUGAAAUUCACAAAAUAUAGGCCUUUUUAUAUUUGGAUUGAUCUAAAAUUCAAAUAGUAAAAUAAUAUUGAUCUAAAAGCUAGUAGUAACUAAGAUAGUUGAUCAAAAAAUAAAAAAAUCGAAAGUAGAAAAGAACUAAUACUUCUAGAAGCAUUCUAGUUCAUUCUUGUAUAUAUAUUCGAGUUAUAUCAAGCAGAACACGUGUAAACUAAUUUUAGC
rnacentral:lncRNA from 1 species